UACGAAGGGGGCUAGCGUUGCUCGGAAUUACUGGGCGUAAAGCGCACGUAGGCGGUCCAGCAAGUCGGGUGUGAAAGCCCUCGGCUUAACCGAGGAAGUGCAUUCGAAACUACUGGACUUGAAUACUGGAGAGGAUCGCGGAAUUCCCGGUGUAGAGGUGAAAUUCGUAGAUAUCGGGAGGAACACCAGUGGCGAAGGCGGCGAUCUGGACAGAUAUUGACGCUGAGGUGCGAAAGCGUGGGGAGCAAACAGG
rnacentral:rRNA from 1 species